rnacentral:rRNA from 1 species
UACGUAGGGUGCAAGCGUUGUCCGGAAUUAUUGGGCGUAAAGAGCUCGUAGGCGGUCUGUCGCGUCGGCUGUGAAAACUCAGGGCUUAACCCUGAGCCUGCUUCCGAUACGGGCAGACUAGAGGUAUGCAGGGGAGAACGGAAUUCCUGGUGUAGCGGUGAAAUGCGCAGAUAUCAGGAGGAACACCGGUGGCGAAGGCGGUUCUCUGGGCAUUACCUGACGCUGAGGAGCGAAAGUGUGGGGAGCGAACAGG